rnacentral:lncRNA from 1 species
CGGAAAUCACUCCCCCAUUUUAUGCGGCCUCUCCUCUACAAACCUCUCUAUCUCUCUCUCUUUCUCUCUCAUUUACAGAUUUUGAAGCAUCAAACCUCCCUCUACCUCCGCCGAUACAGCCGCCGCCACCGCACCUCCUUUCUUCCUCCUCCCUAAACCGUCGGAGGCCCAGCAAGAUCGUCGGGCCGUCACGAUUUUCACCAUCAAAAACCUCAUCUCCCUCUCUAUUUCAACGGCGAGCGGCGAGAAUCCACGCCGCCCCCUUCUCCAUCAAAAACCUCAUCUCCCUUCUCUAUGUUUAAGCGUUUCCAAUUGGGGUUAUCUGGAGAGAUUGGAGUUAGUUUUGUUAACUGAGGAAUGUGUGUAAUUUUGUGUUUGGGAUCUUGUUGCUUGGAUAUUCUUGAUUGUUGUGGCUGCUGGGUUUUGCUUGAUUAAAAAGAAAAAUGUAAUCUUGGAUGAAAUGGCAUGUGAAUUUUGUUUCUUUUAGUUUGCUUAAUUAUUGGAUUUUUUUCUUUCUCGCUGUGGGUAAUAUUGCAGGGGAAUUUCAAGCAAAAUCAGUACCUGAUAACCCCUUUUAAUUGUUUGUGUAGUUUAUAUUAGAUUCUUGUUUUUGUUCUUUUUGUCACUUGGGGCUUCUUUCGCCAAUGGAUUUGAUUUUUGGGUGUUUUGCAACUAAGUAGUUCAUUCUGCUUGCAGGGGGGAUUAUUUAUGUUCGAUCUUUAGCUUCCAUACUGGUUUUGUGACUCGACGCAAGAACUCAUUGGAGGCCAGCGCAACCGUGGAGAUCCGGCGUCUCAUCUCCAAAGAGAUCUCUCAUAGUCGGAUUCUUCAUCUGGGAAUUAAAUCUCUUUGCAGUCUCUGUCUAAUCUGCACUUUUAUUUUUCUUUUCGUCAAAAUAAAUGAUCAAUUUUGGAAUUUGGGGGAUAUUCACGUGUCCAUUAAAUAUGAAUAUAUCUGUUCAUUUAGAAAUUGUGUUCUGUUCAUUUAGAAAUUG